CUACCAGCGCACCGCCUUACCGGCGCCUUAACUCCCGCCAUUACGCCAUUACGCUCUCACGCCGCCAUUUUGUUUACAAGGUGAGUGCUAACGGCGCCGAGGAACUAACAGGAGUCGCGGCGCCCGCCGGCCGUCGCCGCGUAACAUUAUCAUCGGAACAUCGACCACCAUGUAGCUAUAGCUGUUGGGCCUUUCACGUUAACAUAUACUAUGUAUUAUAAUAGUCUAACUAUUAACAUUUAUAUGCCUGUUAUGUUUAUAACAUGAUGAAACUUUAUUAACAAUUAUAUUUUUUUUUUAUAUGAAAUGGCACACGCCAUCGACUAUAUUUACUAUAUUGUAACUUAUUGUACUUCUGUUGUCGCUUGAUCGUGUCGUUGUUGAAGCACGAGUGUUGUUAGGCUACCCACACUCACAGCGCUAAACGUGCUCAUAUUAGCUUCUAAUAUAGUUUUUAUUUCCUAUUGGAUAACAUUUUGUAAUGUUUAUAUAUUUUAUUAUCGCGCGUUUAGCGCUGACGUAUUGAAAUGAUACAAUUAGCAUUCUAAAUUUUAUCACGGAAUCUGAACAGCAAUCGCUUGUCUGAAAUAUUUUCUAAUUUUCGGACUUCAUUGACCUCUCGAUCGCUGUAAAGACCAAGUGAUACCCGCAUAUUACAAAAAUAUUUAAAAAGUAACGAACUUAUGGAUGUCGCGCUGAAAGUACCAAUAUGGCGUCAGAAAAAACAAGAUGGCGGUAGUCGCAAGUAUCAUUGGUCAAGUAAGUAUAUCCAUACAAUGCAAAACAUAAAAUUGCUUAUAUUUUCAUAUUCGACUGAUAUCUGAAGUAAUGUCUAGCCCGUGUUCAUAGAUUCAUUGACCCGACAAAACUUUGGCAAUAUACAGUAAAACCAAAGACUUCGUUUUAGUGUUUUUCGAGAGCUAUUCCUGAUGAAAUUGACAUCAUUAACGUCUUCCCUUUAAAUAUAUAGGUCAGUGAGUGCAUGAAAACGCAUACAAAAUCAAUAUAUUUAUAGCAUUGUAUUUUAAAUGUUAGUGCUUAAUAUUUAUACAUAAAAAAUAAUUGUGCAUUAAACGUGCCUUAAUAAAUGUACAAUGUAGCACUCGUGUGCUUUUAUAGAAUUGUUAAUUGCUUCGUAGUGAUGUAAGUUAGAUGAGAUUAAAUUAUUUGUUAACUUUGCUAAAUGUUAAAACUAUAACUACGAUUUCUUAUAAGGAUUUAGGUUAGGCAUAGUAGUUUUCAAAUGUUUUUUAUAACAUUUUUAUAUAGGUAAUUGAUAAAGUAUAUUGGAUGUGCCUAUGAUACAAAUCUCCGCUAGGAAUCUCGGAUACGAUCGUCUAACUCAAAAUAUCAGAGAUCUGUGUAGGUAUCAAGGAACAACAUUGAUAUUGUUAAUCUCAUAUUUUAAUAAGGCAGCGUUCGAAUAAUACGUAAUCACGAUUGUGAAAGCGAUUUUCGAAAUUAUUUUUUUAUUGCGAAUAGAGAAAGAGGAAAAAUAUCUUUUUUUACAUUUACAAUCAUUUUCUAAAGAGGUUGAUGGACCAAAAAUAUUAACGUAAUAUUUGGACGCCUCUAAAAAUGUAACAAAGGUCAUAUAGUAUGUUGUAAUUGUUGUGUAUAAAGAUUAUUGUUUAAAAGCAAUAUUAUAUGUAACAUUAACUUGUAGUGCAAUAGAAAUGUUAUUUUCUAAUUAAAUUUUAUUAUAUCUCAACAUAAAAUCUAGUUGGGUGAAUAUUUUUUACAAGUAAUAGAGAUCUGAUAUUGAGAUUAAUUUGUUAAAUGAAAUGAAUAUCAAUUUCGUUAAUUUGUGAAUAAAAAUAUAUUUUCCUUAAAAAUUAUAAAUCUAGUAUAAAAUUUGAUAAGUAAAAAUAAAGCGAUAAAAAUGGUAUAUUUAGAUGAAAAAUAUUUAGGUGCUUUUAUGAAAUCGAGGAAACAUUCAAAACAUGGGUCACAAUCAAUUGAAUUUGUUUGAAAUAAUUUUUUCUUUCACGUAUCAUAGAAGUUGUUAAUUCUCCGUCCAUGGUAUUUCAUAAAGUAAGUACUUAAUUUCGUUGGUCUGCCAUUCUACGUUCUCAUAUCAUUAAAAUUAAACAAAUAAUAUUCUUUUUAUAAUCCAUUAAACUUAUUUUUAAAUAUUUUUGUCGUUAAAUAAUUCAUGGUAUUUCUAAUCAAUAACAGUACCUAUAAUCAAAAACUAAAAUCUAUGAAUUAUUAUGCUUUGGAGACCCGAAGUAGAGCAGCAGAUUUUCAUUAUGUACAAAUAUAAACAAGCAUUUAUCUUCAUGCAAACGCCAUAGAAACGGUAACGAAGGAUAAUACAUUUAACUGUUCAUGUUCUAAAUACAGAUUGUGAUGAAAUAGAAAUAACAACGUACAAAUUAUUAUUAUAUUUGUCUGCAUAAAAAUAUAUUGUGCCGUGUUUCAUAGUGAUAGCAAAACUAUUUGUGUCUUGAAACAUGUUUAGUGCCAUCUGCAGACGGGCUUUUCAUUUGUUUUUUUUAUUAUUAAUUUGUACUUAUUAUAAAACUAUACUAUAGUAUGGCAAUAUAAGAGUGCCUUAAUGAUCUUUGUACAUAUUUAUUCUUUCACUAAAGUAUUAAUAUGGAAAAAUAAAAAACACAAUAAUUUCCAAAAAUAAAUAAUACUUUUUUUUAUGGAUUUUAGUUAAGUGAGAAUGUGCAUAUUUUGUUUUGAUGUGUGUGAUUGAUUUGGUAUUAGUAAAUAAUCCGAAAAUGUA